GUGAUCUCCUUUUUGGUCACCUGACUUCCUGUUGGUGUUGCUGAGAUUAGUUGUGGGUUACUCUUCUGAAGCCUCCAUCGCGGCUGGUCGUAGCUGUAGAAGCCUCCUCUGAGCCAUUCUGCUCAUGUUCUAUGACACGGCUUACUUGGAAGUGUGGGCCUGAGUUUUGCGCCAAGCUACGUGAACUGAAGUGCUGCUGUUUUGCUUUGCUUUGCUUUGCUGUGCUUUUACCGUCUGUUCCCGUUGCGAGAUUUCUUUUCCUGCUGCUGCCAGCUUUUACUGUGGACGUCGGCGUGGACAGCAGCCAUAUGCCCGCCGGUUAUGGGAGUCAGCUGGCGUGCAUAUUGAUUGACCGUUAACUUGUAGUGGUGCAGACGGCAAGUUGGAGCAAUACGGCGAUUCCGUUUGCUCCUGAUUUUAGAGUUUUAUCCAGAUUGUACGUUGUUUUCCUGUUGUUUGAUUUGUAGUUUGGAUUUUUGUUAUGCCACUGGUGGGAGGCCCUUUUUCUAGCUGUAGAUCACCAGUGUGGUCCUGCAGUUGGGUUAUCCCCCAGCGUUACACAUUAGUUUGUUGUGAUAUAUUAAAAUUUUCUUUGUUUCUUUUAUUCAGAUGCGGAGCGCCGACGUGGAGGAGACUAGGGUGCCUUGGUGGUGGGAUCCUUUGCGUGUACACACCUGCCUUGUUUAGUUUAUUAGUGUGAGUGUGUGAUAGUGUGCUGCACUUGUGUCUUGGUGUGUUUUCUUUUUUUAGUUUGUGUUUGGCAUCCCUGCCCCUCCACUGGUAAGCCUCAGCUCUGAAUAUCUUUUUAAGCAUAUUUGUACAUGAAUAUUUAUGAUUGUGCUUUUAUAUGGUGUUUUAAAUAAUUAUUAAUAAAUUGUCAAUUUGUUUAUCAUUGAA